AAUUAAACCCGAUAGCGCCAGAUAGCUCCCGGUUUUUUUCUUCAAAAAAAAACGGGACUAUGGGCAAUAGCGGGACUGCUG
rnacentral:misc_RNA from 1 species